rnacentral:rRNA from 1 species
AUUGAACGCUGGCGGCAUGCUUUACACAUGCAAGUCGAACGGUAACAGGCCGCAAGGUGCUGACGAGUGGCGAACGGGUGAGUAAUGCAUCGGAACGUGCCCAGUCGUGGGGGAUAACGCAGCGAAAGCUGCGCUAAUACCGCAUACGAUCUAUGGAUGAAAGCGGGGGACCGUAAGGCCUCGCGCGAUUGGAGCGGCCGAUGUCAGAUUAGGUAGUUGGUGGGGUAAAGGCUCACCAAGCCAACGAUCUGUAGUUGGUCUGAGAGGACGACCAGCCACACUGGGACUGAGACACGGCCCAGACUCCUACGGGAGGCAGCAGUGGGGAAUUUUGGACAAUGGGCGCAAGCCUGAUCCAGCAAUGCCGCGUGCAGGAAGAAGGCCUUCGGGUUGUAAACUGCUUUUGUACGGAACGAAACGGCUCUGGUUAAUACCUGGGGCUAAUGACGGUACCGUAAGAAUAAGCACCGGCUAACUACGUGCCAGCAGCCGCAGUAACAC